AGCUCCGUGGUGUACGACAUGUUGGAUUGCAAAUCCAAAGAUGUAGGCUAAUUGCCUGCCGGGGCUU
rnacentral:tRNA from 1 species